UGUCAUACCGCUGCAAAAAGACUUUCCUAACACAUGUUUUCAUGAUGAUCUUCGAGAUACUUCACUUCACUGUCCUGCGGUCUCAAAAUGGACAACAUCAACGAACAUGGAUGAAAGUGAAAUUCCAUAGACUAGAGAUGAUUGUGAAGCAUUCCAACUUUGGAUAAUAAGUAGGAUGUUGAGGUGAAUAGUGGAAGUUUUGCAUUUCCUACAACUAUAGAACAAGAUAAGAAAGGGAAGAGAAAGCAUGGGCCCACAGGGAUGAAGGAGAUUAAUUGUGUCAGCAGCGAGGGUCGUAGAAG
rnacentral:misc_RNA from 1 species